AGGUGAUUCCCCCUCAUCUUUUGUUGUUCCUACGGUUAAUUCCGUGCAAGCUCUAGAUUUGUCUGCCGGUGCUCAUUCUUUGAUGAAUCGUCGCUGGUGGUUCCCCCGCCAGUGCAAGCACAGAUUGGUCCACAGAUGCAUAUCAACCCGAGUAGGGUGGUGUUCGAGCAGCUUCCGAUUUGGUUGUCAAUCGGAUUGGCGACGACGGUCACCAGGGAUCCAAUCUCCUCCGCUAUAGCUUGGGGUUCCUUCCCUGGAGCGGCAGUCUGAGGACACAAGGAGCAUAUUCCGUUGGGUCUCCUCUCCAAGACUUCAGAUGCUCCUGGUGCUCCUUGAAAAGCUCGGCUUAAGGCAUGAGAGAUGUGGUGGACACCACGAUCUCUAUUGACAGUGCCAUCUUUCAGCAGUACCCAUCAUCACCAUUAGGUGUUU